rnacentral:rRNA from 1 species
UAACUGCGAGUGAAGCGGGAAAAGCUCAAAUUUAAAAUCUGGUGGUCUUUGGCCGUCCGAGUUGUAAUUUAGAGAAGCGUGUUCCGCGCCGGACCGUGCACAAGUCUCCUGGAAUGGAGCGUCAUAGAGGGUGAGAAUCCCGUCUUUGGCAUGGAACCCCCGGGGCUCUGUGAUGCGCUCUCGAAGAGUCGAGUUGUUUGGGAAUGCAGCUCAAAAUGGGUGGUGAACUCCAUCUAAAGCUAAACAUUGGCGAGAGACCGAUAGCGAACAAGUACCGUGAGGGAAAGAUGAAAAGCACUUUGGAAAGAGAGUGAAACAGUACGUGAAAUUGUUGAAAGGGAAACGCUUGGGGUCAGUCGCGUCGACCGAGACUCAGCCUCGCCUCGGCUUGGUGUACUUCUCGGCUGACGGGCCAGCAUCAAUUUCGUCCCUCGGAUAAUGGCAAGGGAAAGGUGGCACCCUCGCGGGUGUGUUAUAGUCUCCUGUCGCAUGCGAGGGGUGGGAUUGAGGAACUCAGCACGCGCCUCCGGGCGGUCGGGGCUUUGGCCCACGUUUACGUGCUUAGGAUGUGGGCGUAAUGGUUCCAAACGACCCGUCUUGA